ensembl:lncRNA ARLNC1 androgen receptor regulated long noncoding RNA 1
GUUCAGCUCCCAGUUAUCCAUGAGAACAGGGAAUCUUACCAGGACAUGCCCAAAUUGGUAUCAUUGCUCAUGGUAGGUCUCCUGGAUCCAGCCCCAAGUCUCAUCUUUCCUCUUAUUUGUCCACCAUUUUGCUUGAUCCAUAUGGUUUUCAGGUGCUGGUUCCAUGGCUCUUCCUGAGCCGAAAAUAAGGAAACUCCAUAGACCUUGUCCACUGGAACUCGUUCCCAUCUACCCUCCACUCUAUCCAGCCCCAUGAGGACAAGGAACAUGAUUGGUUUUGCUCACUGCCGUAUCUUCCGUACCUAGUACGUAACAGGACAUCAAUAAAUAUUAGUUGAAUGGAAGAUUAAAUCAACAAAAUGGGUGAUGGAUCUCUGCAGUAAGUGGAAGAGUUCUUCAUGGCCCCCAAGGUUAUAUCCAUCUAGAACUUCAGCACGUAAUUUCAUCUGGAAAUAGUGCCUUUGCGGAUAUAAGUUAGGUAAAACUGAAGAUGAGAUCAUACUGGAUUAGGAUGGGAUCUAAAUCCAAUGAAAAUGUCUUCAUAAAAAACAGGAAAGAACCCAUAGAAACACAAGGAAGAAGGUCAUGUGAAGAUGGAGGCAGAGAUUGGAGGGAUGCAGCCACCGGCCCAGGAAUGCCAGCAGCCACCCAGAAGCUGGAAGGAAAUGAGGGAUUCUCUCCUAGAACCUUUAGAGAGAACAUGGUCCUGUGAACAGCUUGAUUUUGGACUUGCCCAUAGCUUGUAUACUCUUACUUUGGAUACAAUUUUAUCCAAACUUGGCUAAACAGUUUCUCAGCCUAUGGAAAAUUUAAAAUGGAGAAGAUUCAACUCGAUUCUUACAGAUUCAAAGCAAGAAAAUGAUGGGAACAUAGGAGGAGACCAAGAAAGCCUAUAAAAAGCAAAAAUAUGAAGUGAACAUUGUGGUAGCUUUAAGAUGUUUAGUGUAGCUGCAGGCACCCUAUACACAUGAAAACCCCCAAGGGGAAUCCCCAUAUCACAGUGUAGUGUGAUAUUUGACAUUCGUGAUCAUCUAGAGAUGUACAGAAAAGGUGAAUCUGUGUUCUGUAUAUUCUGCCUAAGGCAAAGAAAUGUUUAGCUCUCUUUAAAAUAGUUCCAUAAUUUUUUCUAAAAAGCUUUGCUUGAAAACUGUAAGCUUCCCAUAUCUGGAGCAUUUCACUUUAAAUAUUUGGAUAAAUAUGUUAUCUUCUUACUUGGACAUUUCAUGUGUUUAGGGAUUGUCUUCUAAAUUCUUCCUAAUUCAUAUAGCUGCUAACACUUCCCGCAGAGCUAAACCAUUACAGAUAUGAAAUAAAGACCUAUUGAUUUGAC